UUCCUCCCUGAGACUACAAAUACCAGGGCCGGCUUCCUCCUCGACCAUAGGUGAAUCCUCCAUUGAAAGCGGGCGGAAGACCUUCUCUUCUGAAUAUUUUACAAUUUCUAGUUCAUAUGUGAAUGGCAUUAAUCAUUGUUAUACACUAAUUUGUAAAUUUAUUUGAUACUUAACCGAAAUCUUCAUAGUACUAUUUAGUUUAUAUUUGCGUACGAUUUUACAAAGUUCGUUAUGUAUGCAACGGCGUAUAGAUAUUUUAAAAAAAUAAUGAUUCAUAUCGUGUACGGUAUCAGCAUGUUUAUUUGCGUACGAGCAAACCAGCUAGCGCAGCAACAGUACUACAAUAUAUUUAAAAAAUAUCAAAGGUUUAUUUUGUAAAUGUGU
rnacentral:lncRNA from 7 species